rnacentral:rRNA from 1 species
AGAGUUUGAUCCUGGCUCAGAUUGAACGCUGGCGGAACGCUUUACACAUGCAAGUCGAACGGUAACGCGGGGAGAAGCUUGCUUCUCCCCGGCGACGAGUGGCGAACGGGUGAGUAAUACAUCGGAACGUGUCCGCUCGUGGGGGACAACCAGCCGAAAGGUUGGCUAAUACCGCAUGAGUUCUACGGAAGAAAGAGGGGGACCCGCAAGGGCCUCUCGCGAGCGGAGCGGCCGAUGACUGAUUAGCCGGUUGGUGAGGUAACGGCUCACCAAAGCAACGAUCAGUAGCUGGUCUGAGAGGACGACCAGCCACACUGGGACUGAGACACGGCCCAGACUCCUACGGGAGGCAGCAGUGGGGAAUUUUGGACAAUGGGCGCAAGCCUGAUCCAGCUAUUCCGCGUGUGGGAUGAAGGCCCUCGGGUUGUAAACCACUUUUGUAGAGAACGAAAAGACACCUUUUAAAAAAGGGUGUUGCUGACGGUACUCUAAGAAUAAGCACCGGCUAACUACGUGCCAGCAGCCGCGGUAAUACGUAGGGUGCGAGCGUUAAUCGGAAUUACUGGGCGUAAAGGGUGCGCAGGCGGUUGAGUAAGACAGAUGUGAAAUCCCCGAGCUUAACUCGGGAAUGGCAUAUGUGACUGCUCGACUAGAGUGUGUCAGAGGGAGGUGGAAUUCCACGUGUAGCAGUGAAAUGCGUAGAUAUGUGGAAGAACACCGAUGGCGAAGGCAGCCUCCUGGGACAUAACUGACGCUCAGGCACGAAAGCGUGGGGAGCAAACAGGAUUAGAUACCCUGGUAGUCCACGCCCUAAACGAUGUUAACUAGUUGUUGGGAUGUAACAAUCUCAGUAACGCAGCCAACGCGAGAAGUUAACCGCCUGGGAAGUACGGUCGCAAGACUAAAACUCAAAGGAAUUGACGGGGACCCGCACAA